ACAUCCCGGGCCAAUCUGCAGCUGACCCUCCCUCCCAGACCCUUCCACCUCCUGGACAGCAUCCAUUGUGAAGCUGCCUUCAAAAUGGAUGCUGUUCAGGAGGUGGAAGGGUCUGGGAGGGAGGGUCAGCUGCAGAUUGGCUGGGAUGU